rnacentral:rRNA from 1 species
AUUGAACGCUGGCGGCAGGCCUAACACAUGCAAGUCGAACGAGUGGCGGACGGGUGAGUAAUGUCUGGGAAACUGCCUGAUGGAGGGGGAUAACUACUGGAAACGGUAGCUAAUACCGCAUACCAUCAGAUGUGCCCAGAUGGGAUUAGCUAGUUGGUGGGGUAACGGCUCACCAAGGCGACGAUCCCUAGCUGGUCUGAGAGGAUGACCAGCAAAACUGGAACGGAGACACGGUCCAGAGUCCUAGGGGAGGCAGCAGUGGGGAAUAUUGGACAAGGGGCGAAAGCCUGAUGCAGACAUGCCGCGUGUAUGAAGAAGGCGUUCGGGUUGUAAAGUACUUUCAGCGGGGAGGCGUUACCCACAGAAGAAGCACCGGCUAACUCCGUGCCAGCAGCCGCGGUAAUAC